AGGCAGCCGCCAUGCAGGCACGAGCAACUGGGAAAGUUCAAGAGUACGAAUCGCUCAAGGCUGCACUCGAGCAGGGAACCCCCGCGGC
rnacentral:SRP_RNA from 14 species